rnacentral:rRNA from 1 species
UACGAAGGGGGCUAGCGUUGUUCGGAAUCACUGGGCGUAAAGGGCGCGUAGGCGGCUUUAUAAGUCGGGGGUGAAAGCCUGUGGCUCAACCACAGAAUUUGCCUUCGAUACUGUAGAGCUUGGAGACCGGAAGAGGUAAGUGGAACUGACGAGUGUAGAGGUAGAAAUUCGUAGAUAUUCGCAAGAACACCAGUGGCGAAGGCGGCUUACUGGUCCGGUUCUGACGCUGAGGCGGCGAAAAGCGUGGGGAGCAAACAGG